rnacentral:sRNA from 1 species
UGGCGUGCGUCGCCUGUCGCCUCCAUGGU